UUAAUUUUGUUAGAUUUUCUAACCAUACCAAUAUAUGUAAAUUAUGAUAAUCUAUUUUGUUUGAAGUAGAUCAACUCUUUAACUUCUCUUUUUUAAAAAGAAAAUUCCCUCUGGGUAGGUGUCAUGGAAAAUUCAAACACUCAAUAGGAGAGAGACAAGGAGAGUGAGCACUGCACAUACCACACCCAGCUGCAGCAUGUAUCUGUGUUUUUCUCUGUGUGUUCCCCCUCUUUACUAGGAUUUCUUUCUUCAGGAUGUUAAGGCAGAUCCAUGGCAUUACUGUAAUUCAUCCUUAAGUACUUCAGAAUGUGUCUUAUAGGUAAGAAUGUUUUGAUAUAACUUACAUAUUAUUGUACCUAACAAAAUUAUCAAUGGCUCCACUCCUUAGUGUAACCUAACAUCCAGUUCACAUUCUCUUUUCCUCCAAGUGAUGCCAUCUGUCUGCUCUCUUUCCUAGAAUCUCCUUCCCUGCUCCUAUUUUGAUUCCUGGAUUCCCAUGUGGGUUGCACAUGGACUUUGGGAAACGUUGGUUGGAAAGAUGACAGCAGCAUCUGAGAUUGAGCAGCUACAGCUCUAAGAACUGAGAGGUGGAUACAAAACAAACAGCAAAGGAUAGAGUUUGCAUGUCCACCAUUUGAAUGGCGGCAGCAGCAGGAGGAGAGUAGAGGGGAAGGUCCCUGAUCAACUCAUGAAGUCAUCCAGAAAGGAGAAAACAUCACAAGCCUGGGCCUAUGUCCCAUUCCUGGCUGCUAUGGUGACAAACUGCCCCAUCUGAGAAGGAAGGUUUCUGGGAGGAUAUGGAGCAUUCACUGCAAAUACCCGAGUGUCCCGGGCAAACAAGGUAAACAACAGGUGGCUGAAGAUCUAUGCCUCCUAAACAAAUGGGAAGUUCUGAGUGGGAAACUUCGAUCAGUGGCGGGACCCCGUUCCCAGGACCACCUGUCACCACUGGCCCGGCCACUACAGGAUCUGUGCCUAUUGCUGUGCCUGUACCUGCUGGAAGCUGCCGACCCAUAUUUCUCCCUGUCAUGAAAGAAUUAAAGACACCAUCUUGGGUAGGAAGCAAUUGUGGAGGGUGGAAGUUUCUGG